CCAGCAAUAUACGAGAAACUGACCCAUAACCUCAGACAGGAGCAAAUAUCAUGUAAUGUAGGAGAGAGAAAUUAGGUCUUGACACCUAACUGUUCAGUCAAUACCAUACUUGAAUCCAUAGCUUGAAUCCUUGAAUACCUUCUAGUGCUUCCAUUUUCAAAAAAUUUCUUUCCCAACAAAAAUUUCUUUUUUCCUUUUAAAAUUUCCUUAUCUAGGACAAAAUUUCCUUAUCUAGGACAAAAUUUCUUUCUAGUAAAAUUAAUGAACUUUAGCAGAACAUUCUAGAUUCAUAGGCGUUGAAAGAUCGAUAAGUGGGGGGGGGGCAUAUUCACAUAUUUGUGUUCUGCAUUGUUAAUUUCUUUUGAAAUUGAUUGUUUUUAAGGUCUGUGAACAUGAAUAUAUUAAUAUGGUCCCCCCCACUUAUCGAUCUUUCGAUGCCUAUGUCUAGAUUAAAAACGACAUUAUAUUAUUUUGUCUCGAGUAACAAUGUAUUUCUUGGGUUGUCAGAAGGUGUCUGGGGCCUUCCCUGAAAAUUGUCCAGUGAAUCAUUUAAUGCAUUUUUGAAACAAAUUUUUUUGGAAAUUGCUGUAUUCUUAGGAUUUUUCCAUUGAACUAAAUACAAAUUAAGGCAAUUUCCUUCUUAUUUUGUUCCUGGGAGCAAAAUUUCCUCCCAAAUGCUUUAACUUCCAAAUUUCCUAGCCUUUCAAAGGUUUGGAAAGGUCAAAAAGGUCAAAAUAUUAAAAAAAUCAAUAUAUCAGUGUUAGUUUUUAUUCUUAUGGAUGGAAAAGUAAGCUAGAUAAACAAAAGAAUAUCUAAGCAGCCAGUGGCGAAGCCACGGUGGGGACUGAGUCGGACAAGUCUCCCACCCUCCUUUAGGACCACCUUUGAGAGAUGUUUGGGGGGGGGGACAUGUGCACAAAUUAUAACGUCCGAAUUUAGGCAAAUUUGUCACAACUUUAAUAAAUUAGACAUAAAUUAAUAAAAUAAAGAACUCUGCAAGUGUACAGGAUAUUUGUUGUCCAAAUAUGAUAGGAGCGGGUCGCGAACAUCGGUAUUUUUUCAAGGGCAACAAUGCUUUAUAUCUUGAUGGAGCAAUGAAAGUGUUUAUAUCAUUAAUAUCAAUGCUCGGUUAGGAUUUAGAGUCAGGAUUUGGGUUAAGUGUUAAAUUAGUUAAAUACUGAAAUAUAUGUGCAGUGCGAUGUUAAACAGUAUUAU